rnacentral:rRNA from 1 species
GCUAGUAAUCGCGAAUCAGCAUGUCGCGGUGAAUACGUUCCCGGGCCUUGUACACACCGCCCGUCACACCAUGAGAGUUGGCAAUACCCAACGUACGUGAUCUAACCCGCAAGGGAGGAAGCGUCCUAAGGUAGGGUCAGCGAUUGGGGUGAAGUCGUAACAAGGUAUC